rnacentral:rRNA from 1 species
GACGAACGCUGGCGGCGUGCUUAACACAUGCAAGUCGAACGAUGAAGCCGGAGCUUGCUCUGGUGAAUUAGUGGCGAACGGGUGAGUAACACGUGAGUAACCUGCCCUUGACUCUGGGAUAACUGCUAGAAAUGGUAGCUAAUACCGGAUACGACCCUCGGAGGCAUCUCCAGGGGGUGGAAAGAAUUUCGGUCAAGGAUGGACUCGCGGCCUAUCAGCGAGUUGGUGAGGUAAUGGCUCACCAAGGCGACGACGGGUAGCCGGCCUGAGAGGGUGACCGGCCACACUGGGACGGAGACACGGCCCAGACUCCUACGGGAGGCAGCAGUGGGGAAUAUUGCACAAUGGGCGCAAGCCUGAUGCAGCAACGCCGCGUGAGGGAUGACGGCCUUCGGGUUGUAAACCUCUUUUAGUAGGGAAGAAGCGAAGGUGACGGUACCUGCAGAAAAAGCACCGGCUAACUACGUGCCAGCAGCCGCCGUAA